UACGUAGGGUCCAAGCGUUAUCCGGAAUCACUGGGCGUAAAGCGUUCGUAGGCGGGUAUUUAAGUGAGAUGUGAAAGCGUGUGGCUCAACCAUAUCGUUGUGUCUCAUACUGGGUACCUGGAGGAAGGCAGAGGCAAGUGGAAUUGGCAGUGUAGCAGUGAAAUGCGUAGAGAUUGCCAGGAACACCAAUGGCGAAGGUAGCUUGCUGGGCCUUUUCUGACGCUGAGGAACGAAAGCGUGGGGAGCGAACAGG
rnacentral:rRNA from 1 species